GUCUGUCUCUGUCUCUUUCAAAGAAAAUGACUAGAUUGUUACAUGCCAGAUUGUCAAAGUAAUUUCACUUUUCAGAUGAGUAAAAUGAAGAACUGAAUCUUCAGUUUGCUCGAAAAUACCCAGUGGUUUGUGACAGAGCUGGAAUUAUCCAUCCAGGCAGGCAUCCACUUAGCCUGGAUGUGCUCUUCACUACAUGCUACACUGCCAUUUUGAAUUGUCAAGUGCCCAAAAAGGUUAGUGAACUCCCAAGACAUGCCGGUUCAGCAGUGAGCAGUAUAAAUGGUUCAACAUGAGCUGUUCCUUUUGUAAACAUACAAAAGGCCUGGCCCAGACUAAAUCAAUUUA